GGAAGCACACCGGAGUAGGAGAGCCGGUGCGGUCUGUAAAACCGUUGCAUCCAUGCUGGGCAGGUUCAAAUCCUGCUGCUUCCA
rnacentral:tRNA from 5 species